GAUGAAGAACGUAGUGAAAUGCGAUAAGUAGUGUGAAUUGCAGAAUUCAGUGAAUCAUCGAAUCUUUGAACGCACAUUGCGCCCCAUGGUAUUCCGUGGGGCAUGCCUGUUCGAGCGUCAUUUACCCCCUCAAGCUCCGCUUGGUGUUGGGCGUCUGUCCCGCUUCGCGCGCGGACUCGCCCCAAAGGUAUUGGCAGCGGUCGUGCCAGCUUCUCGCGCAGCACAUUGCGCUUCUCGAGGCACCGGUGGGCCCGCGUCCAUCAAGCUCACCCCCCCAGUUUGACCUCGGAUCAGGUAGGGAUACCCGCUGAACUUAAGCAUAUCAUAAGCGGAGGA
rnacentral:misc_RNA from 1 species